UUACGACCAUAUCACAUCGAACGCACCGGUUCUAGUCCGAUCACAGAAGUUAAGCAACGUCGAUCAUGGUCAGUACUUAGAUGGGUGACAGCAUGAAAAUAUAAGAUGCUGUA